rnacentral:rRNA from 1 species
ACUUCCCAAACCCAAUGUGAACCAUACCAAACUGUUGCCUCGGCGGGGUCACGCCCCGGGUGCGUCGCAGCCCCGGAACCAGGCGCCCGCCGGAGGGACCAACCAAACUCUUUCUGUAGUCCCCUCGCGGACGUUAUUUCUUACAGCUCUGAGCAAAAAUUCAAAAUGAAUCAAAACUUUCAACAACGGAUCUCUUGGUUCUGGCAUCGAUGAAGAACGCAGCGAAAUGCGAUAAGUAAUGUGAAUUGCAGAAUUCAGUGAAUCAUCGAAUCUUUGAACGCACAUUGCGCCCGCCAGUAUUCUGGCGGGCAUGCCUGUCCGAGCGUCAUUUCAACCCUCGAACCCCUCCGGGGGGUCGGCGUUGGGGACUUCGGGAACCCCUAAGACGGGAUCCCGGCCCCGAAAUACAGUGGCGGUCUCGCCGCAGCCUCUCCUGCGCAGUAGUUUGCACAACUCGCACCGGGAGCGCGGCGCGUCCACGUCCGUAAAACACCCAACUUCUGAAAUGUUGACCUCGGAUCAGGUAGGAAUACCCGCUGAACUUAAGCAUAUCAAUAAGCGGAGGAA